ACGCUGACACCCAAGGUUUUAAAGCCAUAAAUACUUCAGGGUGACCUAAUUGUGACUUUUCAGCACCUGAAGGAGCUGAUGAAAAAGAUGGAGAGAGGGUUUACAAGAGCCUGGAGGGAGAGGACAGGAGGGAAUGGCUUCACACUGCCAGAGGUUUAUGCUGAGUAUCAGGGAGAGGUUCUGUUCCAUCUCCCAGCCCAGGAGUCAGUGCUUGCACCAGCCAGAGCUGCCCAGUGUUUCAAACUGAGUGGGAAGGAGCAUGGAUGUAAAAACAAGGUGAGAAAAUUCAGCAAAAUGCAGCCAGGCUGCCCAUUUUGGGGAUAUUUUGAUUUAAAGCCUCAGAGCAGCUUUCCCUGGUGCAUCCAUCCCUUGUGGGCCCUCACAGGGCUGCAGGAAUGGCUCCAGUGCUGGUGUCCCACCGUGCCCUGCCCAGCCCUAAUUGGCCUGUUUGUUUUGCAAUAAGUGAUUCCUGCCUGUCUUGGGGUGGAUUGUUUUUCACACCAUUAAAUGAAGUUCUGCUGUAUUGAUCCCUGUUUUUCCAAUUUGAAGCCUGAAAAGUGAUGAAGACAUUUUCUUGUUUUCUCAUGUACUUUUCCCUCAGUUCAUUUAGGUGACCUGUCUUUAGUUCCUUGCUCUGCUCGCUGUAAUUGCUUCUUCAGAGUAAUGUUACACCGUGAGCGCGGCUCUGCAGCCGGGGAUGGCUCCCUGGCAGUGAUAAGGACAGAGCAGAGCAGCGUCUGGCUCUGAUAAGGGCAGCAGAACAGCACAGCCUUGCAGAAACAGAUAAAGGACGGAAGUCAGGCAAACAGAAGCCGUGCAACACGCAAGCAGGAGGCAGCCCAGCUCUGCAAGGCUGGCAAAGCAGGAGCUGGGCACAAUAAUGAUGAUAUUGUGCUCGCUGAAAAGCAGGGGACGAGGAACAAGGAGACCAGGCUGAAUUUUUUGGCAAGCUAAGCUAAACUCUGCUGCAUCGUGAAACCGUGUGAAAGCUGCCAGUAAGGAGAUUGACAGGUGGAUUCACUCCCAUCUCUGCCUGGCCUGAGUGUGACAAGGAGGGGAAUAGAAGGGAGCUCUGCUGUUUUCCUUGGAGCCUGGCUUCUGCAAGCAUUCCCAGUGGCUGGCCUAUUCAUCAGGGCUGUUACACUGCUGCUGCUGCUGCAGAGAGGGAAGUACCUUUUUCUCUUCCUCUUCAUUAGCAUGUGCCAUGGUGUGAGGCACUGUGCUGGGGAGGGAACCCCGCUGCGAGCAGCACUGGGUAAACACAGCCGAGGUGACAGUGACAGUCCUCAUCACCGAGUGUUAGCAAUUCAAACAGCCACAUCAGUCAAGGACUUGGAGAGGAGGGAAAGCAGAAGGGAGAAUGUGACAGUUUGCAAACACUCCGCUGCGUGAUUUUGUCGUAGGUGUGUUCAUCCUGGAAGUGCCUUGGAGGAAAUGCAAAUGAAUUCUGUGCUGGACAAGUCUGUGUGCAAGUGAGGACUGAUGGGGCUUUGUUGGGUGUGGUGAGAUUUCUUCCUCUUGUAGAUUGAGAUAAUCAAAGGGCUUUUGGAAAAUUUCAGGAAAUCACCCAAUGCCAGGUUUUGCCUACAGGGCACGGCAGUCUUUACUAAUCCAUUAAAAAUAAGCAGGAGAAAGUAGUAAAACAAAAGCAGUGAUGCAAAACCAAACUCCAAAACUCCAUCAAGCAAAACCUGAUUGUUUUCCCUAGUUAAAUUUUGGGGUGUUUGAAAUGUACUGAUGUUUCCGAAAAUCACCAAUUUAAUCCUUCCACACUGCACUGGAAAUACCAAACCUAAGAAAUUUAGGAAAUUAGGCCGAAGGUUUUCUAUUACCCUGAAAUUUUGCCUUUGAGAAUUGAUAACACAGAUGGAAUUUCCUUGGGAAAGAAUUGAGUAAAGGAUGUUGAGGAAUUAUUUUAGUUGAACUGACUGCAAUGAUAAAAAUGAAUCCUGGAGUGGGACAGUAAAGGAACUCAUGCUAGAAUAUUAAUUCUGCUUCCAAUCAUCCAAGGAAUUCAGUCACUGAAGUCAGGAGUGAAUUCAGUCUGUCUGCUUUCCAAAGGCUUUGGGGAGGCCUUGCCAAUACUAUUCUCUCCUGCUGGAUUUGUCUGCAACUCUUCAAAGUUAUUAUGGAAAUAAUUUCCUCUCUGAAGAAGCAGCCGCCUCUGUCCUGCUGGUGUGUCUCUGCUGUGGAUUACUCCCUCUCACAUCACAUCUCCCCUCAGUCCUGCGAGGCAGCUGUGCCUGCAGGGUGUUGUUCAGCCCUUUACCCAAUUAUCCAGGCCCUGAACACCCAUCCCAAGCUAAUCAGGAAGGACAAUCUUCUCUGGGUGAAAACGCUCUCUGAGGACUCACCUCUGCCUGGCGCCUUCAGGGAGUGAAACCACUAAUUAUAGCAGAGGAGUGUUUGCAUUAUCUGCAUAGUGGUAAGAGCAGAAAGGGAGACCCCAGGGCUGAGAACCCUCUGCAUCAUGGGUUUGCUGUGCUUUUUCUGUGUGGGACUCCCCUCUUGGAAAAUCCCAAUCUAAACACAAAUGUGCAGAAUUUUAUUGAGUGUAAGAACAUUGAAUUUCUAUCUGUAAGGAAUAAUUCCUAUCUGUAAGGAAUAGGUAAUUCCUUUCUGUACCCUAUUAGAAAUCCUCAGCCUGCAGGCACCUGGGCAGUGUAAAAUGAUGAUUUAAGCUAUAUCAUCUCUGUGAUUUCUUGUCCUCCAUCACAGCCCUGCUGAUUUCAGCCUCCAGAAGUUCCAGAGCUGCCUCUCAGCACUGGCCCACAAGCUGCGCAGGUUGAGGAAGAUGUUGCCUGUUUUCUGAAGGACGGGAUGAAAUCACUCCACACAUGUCCUCUAUCUAUUGCUUCUCUGAGCAGGGAAAACCAAAACGCCUUUCCCACCAUUUCAUUUAUUGUCUUUCAUCUGUUUCCUGGGAAAAUCCCUUUUUUUAGUACUUUUGUGCAUGCAUGUGAGCCUGUGUGGGGUAGGCGUGCGUGUGUGUGUGUUUAGGAGGUUUAAAAAAAUUUCUUGCUGUCAGCAAGUGAUGUUACAAACCUGCUCUGACAAGGCUGGUUGUAUAUUUACAGUUGGUGAGAGCGAAGGCUUCAUCAAUCUUCACGCUUUGAAAGGGACAGGCCCGCUCCCAUGAGCACCUGCUCCGGGAGAACAGCUGAACUGUGACUUUCCAGGGAGCUGGCUGUAAAUUUUAGCCAUUCCCCCCGCAGCCCACGCAUGCUUGAGCUCUUUAACCUUCCCAGGCUGGCAGGAGUCCCAGCAAUCAGUUUAGUGCAAAGACUGGGGUUCUUUUUAAUUAACCUUUUGUUUCCCACUGCAGGUGUUUCAAAGUUUUAAAAGGAAAAGAGGGGGGGAAUAUUGUUUGCAGAGGUGCAUCCAGAUUUUCCAUGCUUGGUGAUCAAAGGGAAUCAGCCUUUCUCGUGUUUCCCCUCCACGUUCACCUCCUGGAUGUGUGUCUGUGCCAGCAUCCGCUGGGAAUUGGCGGCAAGGCUUCCCUUGGGCACCUGCAGAAAGUAUUCCUGGGAGUGCAGAAAAGGGAAGUACUGCCCUGUUUGAUCAAUAGAAUUAUUAGUAGGACAAGGACCUGUUGUAUAGCUAAGAAAAUUCAUGUGUGGGAAUUUAUCACAAGGAAAAAAAAAAAAGGCGUUCAAGCCCCACUUAAAACAAUAAAACAUAUCUUUGAGGGAAAGUUUCAGACUUUCUUCUAUAAAGGAAUAAUGGUUUCUAUAAUUUAAUAGGUGGUAAAUUUGGUGAGGACUGCCAGCAAAUCCAUUUCACAUAAUGAUAUUUUAUCUCCCUGGGUAUGGUCAUUUUCAUGAAUGUCUUUUUAUUGGUUUCCUUGUCCCACGAAGUGUCCAAGGUGGUGCUGCUCAUCCUCAAACGCCGAGCACAUACAGAGGCAGCGAUGGCUGGAGAAAACUAUUAAUAAUGGUGACACAAAAAAUGGGCAGGAACUGUGUGACAGUUAAAUGUGCUCCCUAUAAAUAAAGAACAUUUCUAUUUGACCCUCAGGGCUGUGGCUUUUCAGCACUUACUUUUGUAGGAGUUAAGGUGGUCACAGCUAUUAAAAACUAGAGAUAAGCUGCAAGGAAAUUCAGCUGAGGAUAACGGGGG